UGGCGCGAUCCCGGGCUGGUACGGGUCUGAUCUGCCUCCGCAGCAGAAGACGCCGGUUCCAAUCCUGCCGCGUCAA
rnacentral:tRNA from 1 species